rnacentral:rRNA from 1 species
UACGUAGGGGGCUAGCGUUGUUCGGAAUUACUGGGCGUAAAGCGCACGUAGGCGGACAUUUAAGUCAGAGGUGAAAUCCCGGGGCUCAACCCCGGAACUGCCUUUGAUACUGGGUGUCUAGAGUAUGGUAGAGGUGAGUGGAAUUCCGAGUGUAGAGGUGGAAUUCGUAGAUAUUCGGAAGAACACCAGUGGCGAAGGCGGCUCACUGGACCAUUACUGACGCUGAGGUGCGAAAGCGUGGGGAGCAAACAGG